rnacentral:rRNA from 1 species
GGUUAAGUGAAUAAGGGCGCACGGUGGAUGCCUUGGCACUAGGAGCCGAUGAAGGACGGGACUAACACCGAUAUGCUUUGGGGAGCUGUAAGUAAGCUAUGAUCCAGAGAUUUCCGAAUGGGGGAACCCAAUAUCUUUUAUAGGAUAUUACUUUUCAGUGAAUACAUAGCUGAUUAGAGGUAGACGCAGAGAACUGAAACAUCUUAGUACCUGCAGGAAGAGAAAGAAAAUUCGAUUCCCUGAGUAGCGGCGAGCGAAACGGGAAGAGCCCAAACCAACAAGCUUGCUUGUUGGGGUUGUAGGACUCCAAUAUGGUAGUCUGUUAGUAUAGUUGAAGGAUUUGGAAAAUUCCGCUAAAGAGGGUGAAAGCCCCGUAGACGAAAUGCUAACAACACCUAGGAGGAUCCUGAGUACGGCGGAACACGAGAAAUUCCGUCGGAAUCCGCGGGGACCAUCCCGCAAGGCUAAAUACUCCCUAGUGACCGAUAGUGAACCAGUACCGUGAGGGAAAGGUGAAAAGCACCCCGGAAGGGGAGUGAAAUAGAUCCUGAAACCGUGUGCCUACAACAAGUCAAAGCUCGUUAAUGAGUGAUGGCGUGCCUUUU